rnacentral:tRNA from 1 species
UGGGUUGUCGCCAAGCGGUAAGGCAUCAGAUUUUGAUUCUGACAUGCGCUGGUUCGAAUCCAGCCUACCCAACCA